GGAAGUGAGGGUGGUCUGGCUGUUACAUCUGUCACCCUGUUGAUCACCAGGGUUGACUUGGCUGAUCUGACUGUCUAGGUGGGUACCCCCUUUCUCCCUCACUGCUUCAUGUGUGUCCCUCUUGAAGCUGUGCACUCUGUCAAAGAGGAUGACCUUCCCUGAUAGAGGAGGACUGUUCUUUGGUCAAGGGUAUAUGAAUAGCUGUGCUCCCCUACUAGAACCUCCAAACAAGCUCUCAAGCUCUAUUUGUAAAAGUAGGUGAGUCAAGCUUCCAAGCCUCCAGACAUCCAAAUGGGGCACUGCAUGUGGUAGUCUGCCUUUU
ensembl:misc_RNA 7SK 7SK RNA